rnacentral:misc_RNA from 1 species
GAUGAAGAACGUAGCGAAAUGCGAUAAGUAGUGUGAAUUGCAGAAUUCAGUGAAUCAUCGAAUCUUUGAACGCACAUUGCGCCCCUUGGUAUUCCAUGGGGCAUGCCUGUUCGAGCGUCAUUUGUACCUUCAAGCUUUGCUUGGUGUUGGGUGUUUGUCUCGCCUUUGCGUGUAGACUCGCCUUAAAAUAAUUGGCAGCCGGCGUAUUGAUUUCGGAGCGCAGUACAUCUCGCGCUUUGCACUCAUAACGACAGCGUCCAGAAGUACAUUUUACACUCUUGACCUCGGAUCAGGUAGGGAUACCCGCUGAACUUAAGCAUAUCAAUAAGCGGAGGA